AGUGAACGCUGGCGGUAGGCCUAACACAUGCAAGUCGAACGGCAGCACAGUAAGAGCUUGCUCUUACGGGUGGCGAGUGGCGGACGGGUGAGGAAUACAUCGGAAUCUACUUUUUCGUGGGGGAUAACGUAGGGAAACUUACGCUAAUACCGCAUACGACCUACGGGUGAAAGCAGGGGAUCUUCGGACCUUGCGCGAUUGAAUGAGCCGAUGUCGGAUUAGCUAGUUGGCGGGGUAAAGGCCCACCAAGGCGACGAUCCGUAGCUGGUCUGAGAGGAUGAUCAGCCACACUGGCACUGGGACACGGUCCAGACUCCUACGGGCGGCAGCAGUGGGGAAUAUUGGACAAUGGGCGCGAGCCUGAUCCCGCCAUACCGCGUGGGUGAAGAAGGCCUUCUGGUUCUAAAGCCCUUUUGUUGGGAAAGAAAAGCAGCAGGUUAAUACCCCGCUGUUCUGACGGUACCCAAAGAAUAAGCACCGGCUAACUUCGUG
rnacentral:rRNA from 1 species